UGGUGUCGUGAACCUGAGAACUGCUUAUUUUUUUUGAACAGGAAGAGAAAGUCUAAAUUCGUUCUUUAUAAAGUCUAUGCACUGUUGCACAAAAAGCAUGAUAAAUUGCCUCAUGUUGCCGAAGCACUCAAGGGGAACUUGGUGAAAAAAGGAACCUGCAUUCACUUGACUCUAUCAAUUAUUCAAGCAUACAGUAGUUGAAGAAAUUGAUGCCAGCAAACGCUGCCAGGCUAUGGAGGGAGAACUUUCACACAAGGAUUGUUACUCUAAACACCUGGUAAAAGAGAUAGACAACUCGCCCUCCCAGCUUCUUCAUCAGCUCAUGGCUGACAAAAUGGAGCAAUACGUGUUUUCUGGAAAAAGGCUUUCCCCACUCAAUUGAAGAAGGAAUUGGCCAGAGGCCAGAGGACAUCAGCAAAGAAUGAUUAGCUACCAGGGAAACCCUCUUAUUUCUCACUUAAAGGAACUUGCCCAGAAAGAGAAGCAUCUACUCAGAAAUUACCCUUUCUCCAGGAGAAAUAAUUUCUUCUUCUUGUUUACCUCAAAUGAUAAUGGAACAAGUGAAAAAUCUCUCAAACUUAUUGAGAAAUAAUUUUUCCAAAAGCAAUUGGUUAUAUCCUUUUUAAUAAUCAACUCAGCUCAUUCAUAUAGCAUUCAUAUUUAUUGAAUGUUGUGUUUUCCAUGGUGCAUUUAAGCCAAGGGAUGGAGGUGCCUAGUCCUGCUGAGAAGCUACUCAUGAUUCUAACAUGACUCAGGUUAAAUUUGACUUUAGUUAAUGGUUAAGUUUGAUCUUGUCAGAUUUCAAUAUCAAAUGUGUUGCUGGUGAUGCAAAAGUAAUGCCUGAUCUAUUUGGACAUUCAAACUUUAAUUACAUUUGGUUGUUCACAAGUUAUUUGGCAUGCCACUUGGAAAGAAGAUGGACUGUCCACGGAAUACUGUGGAACCAAAACACCUAGACACGUACUUACGCCCUGCAAUACUUCCAACCUAGCCUGUGCCACUAGCCACUCAUGCCCUCUCACCUAUGGGGCAUGUUCACUUUGGAAAUGAAAACUUGUCUUUAAUAUGAGUCAACCUAAGGAAGCAUCAUAUAUCAGAUCAUUUUUUUUAAGGAUUAAAGUACCAUCAUGUCAGGGGCAAAUAUACUUCCAAAAUUAUGUAAUAUGGCCCCAAACCAAAUAUAAAUAUUUUUCAUUCAAUGUUUCAGAUUAUCUUUGUAAAUAUCUCCUUUAUCAGAGUGAAUCAAGAGUUAACUGUCAAAUGCCUAAGAAGAUUGCUUAAAUUAUUCUUAUUUAGGGGAUAAGGACAUACUUUUCUCUGGAACUAAUGUAAAAAUCCUAAAAAAUACAAUUCUUAAGAACUCUGAUUCCAUAGAAAGCCCUAUGUCAUUUAUGAAUGUCAGGCUUCCAUCUGUGCUGGAGAAAAAUAAUGCUCUGUACAACAGGUACUGGGACUGAGUAUUCUGAAGGAGCAUCAUUUUGCCAUCAGUCUGAUUAUAAUAUAAAAUAUUUCCUCCAACACCUUAAAACUGCAAACAUGAUCACAAUUAAGUAGUUCUGAUGUACAGAAAAUUCAAGUAUAUUUCCAAAUGUACAGUUUAGAGUAAUCAUUUCACAUCAAUGGUUUUACAUAAGUUAAUUUAGGUGAUUCAACCCACACAAAUAUGGCAUACACAUAAGUAAAUAUUAAUCACUGAUGUAUGUGGCUUUUGGUAUAGGUGGCUUUUGGAAAUAAUCAGCAUUUCAUUGCUUUUGAAACAUUCCUAUAUCUACCCCCACUAAAAAAAAAAAAA